rnacentral:rRNA from 1 species
AGAGUUUGAUCCUGGCUCAGAAUCAACGCUGGCGGCGUGCCUAACACAUGCAAGUCGAACGAGAAAGGGGAGCAAUCCCUGAGUAAAGUGGCGACCGGGUGAGUAACACGUGACUAACCUACCUUCGAGUGGGGGAUAACCUCGGGAAACCGGGGCUAAUACCGCAUAAUGCCUUCGGGUUAAAGGAGCAAUUCGCUUGAAGAGGGGGUCGCGGCUGAUUAGCUAGUUGGCGGGGUAACGGCCCACCAAGGCGAUGAUCGGUAGCCGGCCUGAGAGGGCGCACGGCCACACUGGAACUGAAACACGGUCCAGACUCCUACGGGAGGCAGCAGUGGGGAAUUUUGCGCAAUGGGGGAAACCCUGACGCAGCAACGCCGCGUGGAGGAUGAAGUCCCUUGGGACGUAAACUCCUUUCGACCGGGACGAUAAUGACGGUACCG